rnacentral:rRNA from 1 species
UACGUAGGGUGCAAGCGUUAAUCGGAAUCACUGGGCGUAAAGGGUGCGUAGGCGGGUCUUUAAGUCAGGGGUGAAAUCCUGGAGCUCAACUCCAGAACUGCCUUUGAUACUGAGGAUCUUGAGUUCGGGAGAGGUGAGUGGAACUGCGAGUGUAGAGGUGAAAUUCGUAGAUAUUCGCAAGAACACCAGUGGCGAAGGCGGCUCACUGGUCCGGUUCUGACGCUGAGGCGCGAAAGCGUGGGGAGCAAACAGG